UAGCGCAAAACACAACAGAAAUUCAAAUAAGAAACACCACUCCCCACUUCCAUUUCAAACCUACAAAUUAUUUGAGCAGAGAGAGAGAGUGGGUGAAGAAGUGAAGGAGCAAAAUGGCAUCAACAAAACAAGAUUUGGGGAAAAUGGCGGCGCCUGACCAAUGGCUGCUUGAAAAUGGAAACAUUAAGCUGCUGAGCAGAGAGCGGCGCGGGCGUAGCGCCCAUAACAUGUCUUCUUCUUCCCUGCGGAAGAAAUCGGAUCGGACCCUCGUUUCCAAGGUUCGGGUCGGCUGCCUGCGCAAGUUGUUGACCAAUCUUCAAGAAGUUUUGCUCGGAACCAAGCUUGCCAUUUUGUUUCUCGCCAUUCCUUUCGCCAUUAUUGCCGAGUAUCGCAACUUUGGGAGGCCAUGGAUAUUUGCUUUGAGCCUGCUGGGACUCACUCCACUUGCAGAAAGGAUCAGUUUUCUUACUGAGCAAAUAGCUUUCUUCACAGGACCAACAGUUGGAGGGCUCCUAAACGCAACAUGUGGAAAUGCCACAGAAUUGAUAAUAGCCAUUCUUGCACUUGUCCAAAACAAAGUUGAUGUUGUGAAGUACUCUUUAUUGGGCUCUAUCCUCUCCAACCUUCUUCUAGUUCUUGGCACCUCUCUUCUUUGUGGAGGCAUCGUCAACAUCUCCAAAGAGCAAAAAUUCGACAGAAAACAAGCGGAUGUGAACUCGUUGCUUUUGUUGUUGGGAUUGCUGUGCCAUCUACUACCGUUGAUGUUCACAUUUGUGGGAAAAACACCUGAGAUUGCAGCAGUUGGGACGCUUCAACUGUCGAGAGCAAGUUGCUUUAUUAUGCUCGUUGCAUAUAUCGCUUAUCUCGUCUUUCAGUUAUGGACUCACCGAGAAUUAUUUGAGGCACAAGAGGACGAAGAUGGUGACGUGGCAGGAGACGACGAAACUCCGGUCAUCGGAUUCUGGAGCGCAUUCAUUUGGCUAGUUCUGAUGACCGGCGUCGUAGCUCUACUCUCAGAAUAUGUUGUUGCAACAAUUGAAGCUGCAUCUGAGUCUUGGGGUUUGUCAGUGAGCUUUAUUAGUGUGAUUCUACUACCAAUAGUUGGAAAUGCAGCAGAACAUGCUGGAGCAAUUAUUUUUGCUUUCAAGAACAAAUUGGACAUAACUCUAGGUGUCGCCCUAGGAUCGGCCACUCAAAUUGCCAUGUUCGUGGUCCCAUUAACUGUGCUUGUGUCAUGGAUAAUCGGCAUCGACAUGGAUCUUAAUUUUAACCUACUUGAGACAGGCUCUCUAGCGUUGUCAAUUUUAUUAACAGCUAUAACUUUGCAGGAUGGAACAUCUCAUUAUAUGAAGGGACUAGUUCUUCUACUAAGCUACUUCAUCAUUUCAGCUUGCUUCUUUGUAUAUCAAUCUCCACUUAAUGGAGCUGACUCUAACAACAUGGGGCUCGUCACCUCUCCUGAACAAGGAAUAAUGAGACUUUGAAUUAUAGGUAUGUAUAUAUAGUUAGUGAUAAGUACAUCACUACUAUUAUAAAUUAUUAUUUGUUUUCAUACCAACAAAAAAUGCAAUAUUAGCCAUAUGUUUUAUAUUGAUUGUGUGCACAUAUAUAUGAGCGUAGGUUUGCAGCUUCAGAAGAUUGAAUUAAUUCAUGUACUCAUUAAUUCAUCGAUUGAAAUGGCUUCAAGUUUCAUGCAAAGAACGAAAAAUGUGCCUUGAAAAUCGAGCUGAGUUGAGUCGAGUAGAAGAUACACGAAGUGAAGAUUGUUGGUCGGAGAUGUUUGAUCUGAAAUGAGGCAAUCUACUCGCAGGAGCAUUGAUUAAUCACUCGAUUGAGUUCCUGUUUUUGUUGUUCUUUUUUUGUUACGGUUUUAUGGUUGUGUUGUUUACCGUCUCGAGUUGUUUGUUUUCACAUUUUAAAUGAUAAUUGGAAUUAUAAUUUCCAAUUGUGUGUUAUAAUAAUAUUGUAAUAAUAAAUCAUGUUUGUUCGCGAUCGGCUCAUGUAUUUAUGUAUAAAAAUGAAGGUUUUAUCGUA